rnacentral:rRNA from 1 species
UACGAGGGGGGCGAGCGUUGUUCGGAAUUAUUGGGCGUAAAGGGUGCGUAGGCGGUUCGGUAAGUCUCAUGUGAAAUCUACAGGCUCAACUUGUAGUCUGCAUGAGAAACUGCCGGGCUUGAGUAUGGGAGAGGUGAGUGGAAUUCCUGGUGUAGCGGUGAAAUGCGUAGAUAUCAGGAGGAACACCUGUGGCGAAAGCGGCUCACUGGACCAUAACUGACGCUGAUGCACGAAAGCUAGGGGAGCAAACAGG